rnacentral:rRNA from 1 species
UACAGAGGGUGCGAGCGUUAAUCGGAAUUACUGGGCGUAAAGCGCGCGUAGGCGGCUUUGCAAGUCGGAUGUGAAAUCCCCAGGCUCAACCUGGGAACUGCAUUCGAGACUGCUUUGCUAGAGUAUGGGAGAGGGAAGUGGAAUUUCCGGUGUAGCGGUGAAAUGCGUAGAUAUCGGAAGGAACAUCAGUGGCGAAAGCGACUUCCUGGACCAAUACUGACGCUCAUGUGCGAAAGCGUGGUGAGCGAACAGG